AGCGAACGCUGGCGGCAGGCCUAACACAUGCAAGUCGAACGAAGUCUUCGGACUUAGUGGCGGACGGGUGAGUAACACGUGGGAACGUGCCUUUAGGUUCGGAAUAACUCAGGGAAACUUGUGCUAAUACCGAAUGUGCCCUUCGGGGGAAAGAUUUAUCGCCUUUAGAGCAGCCCGCGUCUGAUUAGCUAGUUGGUGAGGUAAAGGCUCACCAAGGCGACGAUCAGUAGCUGGUCUGAGAGGAUGAUCAGCCACAUUGGGACUGAGACACGGCCUAAACUCCUACGGGAGGCAGCAGUGGGGAAUCUUGCGCAAUGGGCGAAAGCCUGACGCAGCCAUGCCGCGUGAAUGAUGAAGGUCUUAGGAUUGUAAAAUUCUUUCACCGGGGACGAUAAUGACGGUACCCGGAGAAGAAGCCCCGGCUAACUUCGUGCCAGCGGCCGCCGUAACAC
rnacentral:rRNA from 1 species